rnacentral:rRNA from 1 species
UGGGGAAUAUUGGACAAUGGGCGCAAGCCUGAUCCAGCAAUGCCGCGUGAGUGAUGAAGGCCUUAGGGUUGUAAAGCUCUUUCGCCCGCGACGAUGAUGACGGUAGCGGGAGAAGAAGCCCCGGCUAACUUCGUGCCAGCAGCCGCGGUAAUACGAAGGGGGCGAGCGUUGUUCGGAUUUACUGGGCGUAAAGGGCGCGUAGGCGGCGCGAGAAGUCGAGUGUGAAAGCCCCGGGCUCAACCUGGGAAUUGCGCUCGAUACUCUUGUGCUUGAGUUCGGGAGAGGAGCGUGGAAUUCCCAGUGUAGAGGUGAAAUUCGUAGAUAUUGGGAAGAACACCGGUGGCGAAGGCGGCGCUCUGGACCGAGACUGACGCUGAGGCGCGAAAGCGUGGGGAGCAAACAG